UACGGGAGGCAGCAGUGGGGAAUAUUGGACAAUGGGCGAAAGCCUGAUCCAGCCAUGCCGCGUGUGUGAAGAAGGUCUUCGGAUUGUAAAGCACUUUAAGUUGGGAGGAAGGGCUGUAAGCGAAUACCUUGCAGUCUUGACGUUACCGACAGAAUAAGCAC
rnacentral:rRNA from 1 species